GGAUGGUCAGCCACACUGGGACUGAGAUACGGCCCAGACUCCUACGGGAGGCAGCAGUCGAGAGGCUUCGGCAAUGGGGGAAACCCUGACCGAGCGACGCCGCGUGGGCGAUGAAGGCCUUACGGUUGUAAAGCCCUGUUAUGAGGGAAGAAAUGCGCGUUGUCAAACAGGCAAUGUGUUUGACGGUACCUCAAGAGGAAGCUCCGGCUAACUCCGUGCCAGCAGCCGCGGUAAUACGGGGGGAGCAAACGUUGUUCGGAAUUACUGGGCGUAAAGGGCGCGUAGGCGGCUCGAUUAGUGGAAUGUGAAAGACCCUGGCUCAACCAGGGACGUGCAUUCCAAACUGUCGAGCUUGAGUAUAGGAGAGGGUGGGGGAAUUCCCGGUGUAGCGGUGGAAUGCAUUGAUAUCGGGAGGAACACCAGUGGCGAAGGCGCCCACCUGGCCUAAUACUGACGCUCAGGCGCGAAAGCUAGGGGAGCAAACAGGAUUAGAUACCCUGGUAGUCCUAGCCGUAAACGGUGAGCACUAGGUGUAGGAGGCAUCGACCCCUCCUGUGCCGCAGCUAACGCAUUAAGUGCUCCGCCUGGGGAGUACGACCGCAAGGUUGAAACUCAAAGGAAUUGACGGGGCCCCGCACAAGCGGUGGAGCAUGUGGUUUAAUUCGAUGCAACGCGAAGAACCUUACCCAGGUUUGACAUGUACUUGAUCGGUGUGGAAACACACCUUCCCUUCGGGGCGGGUACACAGGUGCUGCACGGCUGUCGUCAGCUCGUGUCGUGAGAUGUUGGGUUAAGUCCCGCAACGAGCGCAACCCUUGUCCCUAGUUGCCAGCAAGUAAUGUUGGGCACUCUAUGGAGACUGCCGUCGACAAGGCGGAGGAAGGUGGGGAUGACGUCAAGUCCUCAUGGUCCUUACACCUGGGGCUACACACGUGCUACAAUGGCCGGUACAAAGGGUCGCAAUACCGCGAGGUGGAGCCAAUCCCAAAAAACCGGUCUCAGUUCGGAUUGCAGUCUGCAACUCGACUGCAUGAAGGCGGAAUCGCUAGUAAUCGCUGAUCAGCAGGCAGCGGUGAAUAUGUUCCCGGGGCUUGUACACACCGCCCGUCAAGCCACGAAAGUAGGCAGUACCCGAAGUCGCUAUCCUAACCGUAAGGAGGGAAGCGCCUAAGGUAAGGCUUGCGAUUGGGGCUAAGUCGUAACAAGGUA
rnacentral:rRNA from 1 species